rnacentral:rRNA from 1 species
ACAUACGACCAUAGGGUGUGGAGAACAGGGCUUCCCGUCCGCUCAGCCGUACUUAAGCCACACGCCGGCAGGUUAGUAGUAUGGUGGGUGACCACAUGCGAAUCCCUGCUGUUGUAUGUG